rnacentral:rRNA from 1 species
UUCCCCCUUAGAGUUUGAUCCUGGCUCAGAGCGAACGCUGGCGGCAGGCUUAACACAUGCAAGUCGAACGGGCACCCUCGGGUGUCAGUGGCAGACGGGUGAGUAACGCGUGGGAACGUACCUUUUGGUUCGGAACAACUGAGGGAAACUUCAGCUAAUACCGGAUAACCCCUUACGGGGAAAGAUUUAUCGCCGAAAGAUCGGCCCGCGUCUGAUUAGCUAGUUGGUGAGGUAAUGGCUCACCAAGGCGACGAUCAGUAGCUGGUCUGAGAGGAUGAUCAGCCACAUUGGGACUGAGACACGGCCCAAACUCCUACGGGAGGCAGCAGUGGGGAAUAUUGGACAAUGGGCGAAAGCCUGAUCCAGCCAUGCCGCGUGAGUGAUGAGGGCCCUAGGGUUGUAAAGCUCUUUUGUGCGAGAAGAUAAUGACGGUACCGCAAGAAUACCCCCCGGCUAACUUCGUGCCAGCAGCCGCGGUAAUACGAAGGGGGCUAGCGUUGCUCGGAAUCACUGGGCGUAAAGGGUGCGUAGGCGGGUCUUUAAGUCAGAGGUGAAAUCCUGGAGCUCAACUCCAGAACUGCCUUUGAUACUGAAGGUCUUGAGUAUAAAAAAAAAAGUUGAGUGCACCUGCGAGUGGUAGAAGGUUAAAAUUCGUAUAUAUUCGCAAGACCACCAG